UACGUAGGCAGCAAGCGUUGUUCGGAGUUACUGGGCGUAAAGGGUGCGUAGGCGGCUUUUUAAGUUUGGUGUGAAAUCUCCCGGCUCAACUGGGAGGGUGCGCCGAAUACUGAGAGGCUAGAGUGUGGGAGAGGAAAGUGGAAGUUCCUGGUGUAGCGGUGAAAUGACGUAGAUAUCAGGAGGAACACCGGUGGUGUAAACGGCUUUCUGGACCAUAACUGACGCUGAUGCACGAAAGCGUGGGUAGCAAACAGG
rnacentral:rRNA from 1 species